AAAAACCUAUUAACCCUUUAUUUAAUAUGGUUUCUAAUCUUCACACAUUCUUUUCCCAUAACUUAUAAUAUAUUAAAAUAGACCUCGAAAUUAUUUGUUUACAACUCAUCAAUUAUACGCUACAUGAUUACCUCACAUUCUCAUUCUCCUUUUCUUUUCUUUUUUUAACUCUUUCUCGCAUUUUCUACUCUCUAUGCCUUUUUUAAUGGAGGAUAAAUAAUAACUACAAAUAUAUUAAGAAAGGAUGAUAAGUUUUGUAACUUAAACUUAGAU
rnacentral:lncRNA from 1 species